GUGCCAGCAGCCGCGGUAAGACGAACCGUGCGAACGUUGUUCGGAUUCACUGGGCUUAAAGGGCGCGUAGGCGGACUGUCAAGUCAGGGGUGAAAUCUUUCGGCUUAACCGGAAAACAGCUUUUGAUACUGACAGUCUCGAGGGAGGUAGGGGCAUGCGGAACUUCCGGUGGAGCGGUGAAAUGCGUUGAUAUCGGAAGGAACUCCGGUGGCGAAAGCGGCGUGCUGGAUCUCUUCUGACGCUGAGGCGCGAAAGCUAGGGGAGCAAACGGGAUUAGAUACCCCGGUAGUCCUAGCCCUAAACGAUGGGUACUAGGUAGUGGACUUGACAUGGGUUCACUGCCGAAGCAAAAGUGUUAAGUACCCCGCCUGGGGAGUAUGGUCGCAAGGCUGAA
rnacentral:rRNA from 1 species